GAUGAACGCUGGCGGCGUGCCUAAUACAUGCAAGUCGAGCGAACAGACGAGGAGCUUGCUCCUCUGACGUUAGCGGCGGACGGGUGAGUAACACGUGGAUAACCUACCUAUAAGACUGGGAUAACUUCGGGAAACCGGAGCUAAUACCGGAUAAUAUAUUGAACCGCAUGGUUCAAUAGUGAAAGACGGUUUUGCUGCCACUUAUAGAUGGAUCCGCGCCGCAUUAGCUAGUUGGUAAAGUAACGGCUUACCAAGGCGACGAUGCGUAGCCGACCUGAGAGGGUGAUCGGCCACACUGGAACUGAGACACGGUCCAGACUCCUACGGGAGGCAGCAGUAGGGAAUCUUCCGCAAAGGGCGAAAGCCUGACGGAGCAACGCCGCGUGAGUGAUGAAGGUCUUCGGAUCGUAAAACUCUGUUAUUAGGGAAGAACAAAUGUGUAAGUAACUAUGCACGUCUUGACGGUACCUAAUCAGAAAGCCACGGCUAACUACGUG
rnacentral:rRNA from 1 species